GACGAACGCUGGCGGCGUGCUUAACACAUGCAAGUCGAACGAUGAAGCCGGAGCUUGCUCUGGUGAAUUAGUGGCGAACGGGUGAGUAACACGUGAGUAACCUGCCCUUGACUCCGGGAUAACUGCGGGAAACUGUAGCUAAUACCGGAUACGACCCUCGGAGGCAUCUCCUGGGGGUGGAAAGAAUUUCGGUCAAGGAUGGACUCGCGGCCUAUCAGCUAGUUGGUGAGGUAAAGGCUCACCAAGGCGACGACGGGUAGCCGGCCUGAGAGGGUGACCGGGCACACUGGGACUGAGACACGGCCCAGACUCCUACGGGAGGCAGCAGUGGGGAAUAUUGCACAAUGGGCGCAAGCCUGAUGCAGCAACGCCGCGUGAGGGAUGACGGCCUUCGGGUUGUAAACCUCUUUUAGCAGGGAAGAAGCGAAAGUGACGGUACCUGCAGAAAAAGCACCGGCUAACUACGUGCCAGCCGCCGCUGUAA
rnacentral:rRNA from 1 species